rnacentral:sRNA from 1 species
AUGGCUGUCGUCAGCUCGUGUCGUGAGAUGUUGGGUUAAGUCCCGCAACGAGCGCAACCCUUAUUCUAUGUUGCCAGCGCGUAAUGGCGGGGACUCGUAGGAGACUGCCGGGGUCAACUCGGAGGAAGGUGGGGACGACGUCAAGUCAUCAUGCCCCUUAUAUCCAGGGCUGCACACAUGCUACAAUGGCUGGUACAACGGGUCGCUAAUCCGCGAGGAGGAGCUAAUCCCCAAAGCCAGUCUCAGUUCGGAUCCCAGUCUGCAACUCGACUGGGUGAAGUCGGAGUCGCUAGUAAUCCCGGAUCAGCAACGCCGGGGUGAAUACGUUCCCGGGCCUUGUACACACCGCCCGUCACACCACGAAAGUCGGCAACACCCGAAGCCGGUGGCCCAACCUUUUAGGAGGGAGCCGUCGAAGGUGGGGUCGGUGAUUGGGGUGAAGUCGUAACAAGGUAGCCGUACCGGAAGGUGCGGCUGGAUCACCUCCUUUCUAAGGAGUCACUGUCUGGGCCAUUCCGGCUCAGAUACUCCUAGUCGAUCACUGGCUAUUCGCUGUCACCCGUACUCCCGCCCCUGGCGGACCGCACCUCUUCGGAGGUCCCGUCCGUGAGGCAGUGGGCCCUGCGGUGGACAGUGGGCAUCACUAUUCCGUUUUGAGGGAGUGACCUCUGGUUCCUGCUCAUCGAGCAGCCCGGAGCGAAUUCUGUCCCUCCGAAGCGAUGCCGGCCGACCCGCGAGGUCUGCCCGGCCGCUCGUCCGUCCGAAAGGCGCCAGUUCACCGGUCUAGUAGUUAGGUGAGCACGGCCCCCUGCGGACGUUGUACGCCCCUUGAGAAUUCCAUAGCGAGCACGAGCAUCUAUGUUCUCCAAGUUAUAAAGAGUCAACGGCGGAUGCCUUGGCGCCUGAAGCCGAAGAAGGACGUGGGAGGCUGCGAUAAGCCACGGGGAGCUGCCUACCAAGCGCGGAUCCGUGGAUGUCCGAAUGGGGAAACCCGG